GGAGUUCCUUUGGGAUGGUCACCUCAUCAGAGGCUGCAUAAUCUGCCACGUUCAGCCCUUCUACAUACUGUACCAGCGACAGCUUGAAAUCCUUCUCUCGAAACAAAUCAUUGCCCUCUGCAAACAAAUUUCUCACCAGCUUCUGCAAGACAGCCUCAUAAUCUUCUUGGCUUAGGGGUAAUGUAGACUGAAUUAAUUGAAGUCCUUUCUCUAUUUCUUGUUUUCUCUUCUGUCUCUCCAUUACAAUCGCUCUCCUCGGGUUCUCCCCCCCACGCUAUGUAUAACUUUCCUCGAUAAAUGGUAUUAUAUUACUAGAGGUAUUAUUAACGUAUUAUUACUAUAAGUAAUAAUAACAGUAAGUGCUAUUUAAUUAUAGGAGGGAGCAUUCUGCUUGUGGAUCGGCUGCCCCUGCAGCUCCCUCCAUGUGCCUCCUGAGCUCU
rnacentral:lncRNA from 1 species